rnacentral:rRNA from 1 species
AUUGAACGCUGGCGGCAUGCCUAACACAUGCAAGUCGAACGAUAACAUGAUCUAGCUUGCUAGAUUGAUGAUAAGUGGCGAACGGGUGAGUAACGCGUAGGAAUAUACCUUUAAGUGGGGGGCAACUCGGGGAAACUCGAGCUAAUACCGCAUAAGCUCUUAGGAGUAAAGCUGGGGACCUUAUGGCCUGGCGCUUAGAGAUUAGCCUGCGUCCGAUUAGCUAGUUGGUAGGGUAAGAGCCUACCAAGGCGACGAUCGGUAGCUGGUCUGAGAGGAUGAUCAGCCACACUGGGACUGAGACACGGCCCAG